rnacentral:ncRNA from 1 species
CUCUUAUCAAGAGCGGUGGAGGGACUGGCCCUUUGAAACCCGACAACCGGCAUCAAUUUUUAGAUGUAUCGGUGUCAAUUCCUGCAAAGUGAAUUAAACUGUUUUAAGUCACUUUGAAAGAUAAGAA